CAUCCACUUGCUUUUUUGAUCUGCAGAGAGACAUUUUCAUUCCUCUUCAAAUAUAUUUUCUUUAGUUGCUGUGUUGCAAGAUUAGUUUCAAACAGGGUUGUGAAAAGUCACAAUUGAAAGGGCAAAAAUCUGUGUUUAGCAGAUGUCAUUGUACAAGUAAAUUUGUCAUCUAUUCCUCCAUCCAUAACUACCCAUCCAGAACAUGGUGAAUCUACCCCAGGAAACAGAGGACAUGAGGAAGGAGACACCCAGGCCAGGAUGCCGGCUCAUUGCAGGUUGCCAGAUAGCGUGAAGAGUUUCCAGCGCAACGAUUUGACAAAACCCACCCAGUCUGUCAACACUGCCCAGGGUUUAAUCAUGUGAUAAUGUAAAAAGACAUGUACAUGGGAAGCACCUGCCAGCAUCACUCUGCCCUUCCUGAAUCCACAUGUGCUCAACUCAGCUCAUGUUCAUGUCCCAGCAUCCC